CCCGUAGGCGGCCAACUAAGUCGGAUGUGAAAUCCCCAAGCUUAACUUGGGAACUGCAUCCGAUACUGGAUGGCUUGAAUCCGGGAGAGGGAUGCAGAAUUCCAGGUGUAGCGGUGAAAUGCGUAGAUAUCUGGAGGAAUACCGGUGGCGAAGGCGGCAUCCUGGACCGGCAUUGACGCUGAUGAGCGAAAGCUAGGGGAGCAAACG
rnacentral:rRNA from 1 species